UGGGGAAUUUUGGACAAUGGGCGAAAGCCUGAUCCAGCAAUGCCGCGUGAGUGAAGAAGGCCUUCGGGUUGUAAAGCUCUUUUGUCAGGGAAGAAACGGUGAGGGCUAAUAUCCCUUGCUAAUGACGGUACCUGAAGAAUAAGCACCGGCUAACUACGUGCCAGCAGCCGCGGUAAUACGUAGGGUGCAAGCGUUAAUCGGAAUUACUGGGCGUAAAGCGUGCGCAGGCGGUUUUGUAAGUCUGAUGUGAAAUCCCCGGGCUCAACCGGGGAAUUGCAUUGGAGACUGCAAGGCUAGAAUCUGGCAGAGGGGGGUAGAAUUCCACGUGUAGCAGUGAAAUGCGUAGAUAUGUGGAGGAACACCGAUGGCGAAGGCAGCCCCCUGGGUCAAGAUUGACGCUCAUGCACGAAAGCGUGGGGAGCAAACA
rnacentral:rRNA from 1 species